rfam:Zea mays cultivar B73 chromosome 1, whole genome shotgun sequence.
UCUUGGUUUAGUUAGGGGGCGUAAAGCACUGGACAUCUGAUGUCCACUCAGGCCUUUUGAGGGGGUACCUCACCUGUCUUACCAAGAAGUGCCCCCCAAGCAGCCUUAGACAUAC